GUAUGGCAAGUGUACAAAGAGAGUUCUGGAAGGUGACCCCUCAACCUUUCAUAUCUCUUCUGCAUGGAAAAUUACAACCUUUAAUUAUAACUCAAAUCAAUUUAUUUAAUAUAACAUUAUUUUGCUGUAAAAUUCAUGUGACACAAAAUAAAUAUUUACAGACUAAAAACAUCAUGAAAGUUUAAUUAUAUUAUCUCAGGAAAAUAUAACUCCAGAGCACAAUUUAAAAUCCAAAGUUUUCAAAAUAAAGAAUUUUGCAUGAGCUCUAACCUGUAGAACUGACCCUGUGAAGUCUUUUAGUUCAUGAAAAAGAAAAAUAUUUCACUUCCAUUUAGUCAAUAGAUUACUGACAGUAAAUUUGCUAAUGAUACCUUGAGCCCUAAAAUUAGAUUUCUUUAACUGUUAGAUGAACCAAUGGUUUCCAAAUCAUGCUGAAAGUACAUUGAUGACUCCAAAUUGACCCCUGGCCUGGGAACCUCCAUAUUCUGUGGGUGAGGCCCUAAAAAGGAAAAAAAAAAAAAAACAAGAAAUAAAAUAAAUAAAUAGAUAAAUAAAUAACUCUAAAUGCAUAAAAACAGAAAGUAGAUUUGUGAUUGCUGGGGGCAGGGGUAGAGUGGGGAAAAAAUGGUUGAAAGUGAUCAAAGUGUUCAAACUUCUAGUCAUAAGAGGAAUAAGUUCUGGGGAUGUAAUGCAUAUCAUGAUGAAUAUAGUUAACUAUACUCUAUUGUAUACUUGAAAAUUGUUAACCAUAGAUCUUAAAAGUUCUCAUCAAACUCACAAAAUAAUGAUAGCUAUGUGAGGUGAUGGGUGUGUUAUAUAACCUUAUUGUGGUAGAAAUUUCACAUACAUAUAUAUAUAUCAAACUAUCACAUUGUAUACAUUAAACUUACACCAUAUGUCAAUUACAUCUCAAUAAAUAAAAUUAAAUAACGAAUGCUUAUAAAAAUUACUACUCUCAAGAAAUUUUUAAAACAGAAAGAUUUAUGUCAGAAAUUAUGUUCUUAAUCAAAUUAAUCAUGACCUUUAAUGAAAAUAUAAGUAAAAUAUGGUAGAUCAAAAAGAGGUAAGGAUUCAGAACACUGACAAUUUCAGAAUUCAUUACUGAACUUAUUAGGGUUUAAGUAUGUAUACAUGAGUGUGUGUAUGUAUGAGUUAGUUAGGAAUUGAGAGCAGAAAAGGGAAUUUUGAAAUAGGAAAACAGAGAGAAAAAUAUUUCUUUACUUACUGGGUCAGUGAGUCUUUCUUGGGCCACAUUCUGUUAUUCUCUUAGUCCUUCUUAUCCAGGCAAUAAGGUAGGGCCAAUUAGAUAAUGAACUGUUUCAAAAUAUCUGUAUAGCAAAAAAUAUAUAUAUAUAUAUAGUGGUCAUCUGUUGCUACUCAGGAUCCAUUUCUUUUCUGAGAUCAGAACCAUUAGUUUUCUGGAAAACACUUGACCCAACCCUGAGUCCAAGCUUGUGUUUUGAAUGGGAGAUGACAUGGUCUUACUGGCUUUAUACCCCAAAGUGAAAAUGAAUCCUAAAAAAAAAGAAAACAAUAUAAUACAAAUUUAACAUAUAAAAAAAAAAAAAAAAAAAAAAAGAAAGAAAGAAAAUGAACCCUGACUCGAGCUAGGCCAGUGAGAGCCCUUCUCCGGGCAUUUUACUUUGCACUAGUUAGUACUUUCUAGAUGUAUGAGAAAUAUAACUCUGGAAUGGCUCAUUACUGUGUUCCCGAACUUUAGAAUGUCAGUUUGCACCAAAGAAGAUAAGACCAACAUAAAGAGGAAAGCAAAGAUGAUGAUGGACCAGCUGUCCUGGGGAUUAGUUCUGCACUUUCUUGUAUUGGGUUAUAUAAGGUAUCCUAGUACCUUUCAAAUAACUUUCUUGCUGUAUUUUAAGCUUAUUCAAACAGGUUUCUUAUACUCUAAAGCAACAGCUCUGGUGGAUACAGUGUAAUAGUAGAAUGCAUGUUUUCAAUGGUCAGACAAACUUCACUGAAGCAAUAUAUAAUGGUCAGUAGAUGAUUGUUGUGGUCCAUUUAGACAGGAGUGAUAGUCUAAACUAUGUGGUCAGAGAGAUGAACACCAAGUAAGUAGAUUUAUUGCUUUAAUAGGAAGAAAGCCAGAAUGGACUCUUUUAGGGACAAUAUUUUUCAAUAUGUAGCCCCUAGACACCUGCAUCCUAUUCACUUAGAGUGAUUGCUAAAGUCAACAUUCUUGGGCCCCAGCCUAGACCCAGGUCAUCAGAAUCUCUGGGGAGUGAAAGGAACUUUCUUAAACUAGCAUUCCAGAUGAUUCUAAUGUGGGUUAGAGGUUGAGAACCACUGCCUUGGAGGAAUGGUUGCCAUUACUAGGAUGCUAAUAUAAUGCAGUGUUUAGAGGUAAUACAUGCACAGUAAGGAUCCAAUUGUGCAGAGUGCAGAAAAAAACAUAGGAGAAAAAUUCAGACAGUGCUUUCCUAUGGUCAUUAUGUUAUAAUGACUAGAAAUGGAGAAAGAGCAGAUGAAAGCAUGGGACCUAAGAACUACAUAUCAGUAAUAAAGUAGAUUAAAAGUUUAAUAUAUACAUUAUAUAUAUAAAGAGAAAACACUGACUUGGUGUUCUUAUAUAGGAAAACAAAGACAAUCAAAUAUGAUUUCUGCAUUCCUUUGUUGCUGCUAUAUGAAUGUUUAUCCACUGCAAAUAGCCAACAUAUGCAUGAAAAAUUAAAAAUCCAUUCAAAGCAAUGAAUUAAUGGCCUAAUGUAAAACAACUAUCCCAAACUAUCUGUUCAAUUUCCCCUCAACUGUAUCAAACAAAUUUGCUACUGAAAUGGUGGUUUCAACUUCCAUUAAGACUGCCCAUCUGAUUUAAGUAAAUUUUUUCACCUUGAAAAUGAACUCAUAAUUUUAUGGCUUGUACUGUGUUGAAAGAUCUUAAAUCAGAGACCUUAAUCCAACCAAUUUUCACACACACACACACACACACACACACACAAAUGCCCCAAGUACAUUUCAAACUAGAUGAAUAAAAUAUCAAAUGAAGAAUCAUCAUGCAUAUGACCAUUUGCUCAAAUGAGUUCAUUUUUUUGUAUCUAGCCAGCAAGAAUCUAUUUCUACAAGAAAUGCAGGAGUUAAUGCCUCUGAGAAGAACAGCCACAAUCUAACCAUCUUGUCAAAUCCAUUCCCUGGAACCUCAGGGGUAGAGCCUUCCUACCAGCUUCAGGGAGGCCGCAUCAGCCUUUCCUUCCAUUCCUCAAUCUUCCAUUGUCAGACCGUGUUGGUAAUUGGUUUUUAAUUGGUUCAUUUACCCGAAUGAUUUAUACUGCCUCAGGUAGACAAGAUUUAAUGACACCCAUUACAGGGCUUUAGAUUAUUUCACAAAUAGAUAUGCUGUUGUCCUUCAAGAUUGAAGAUCCAUGCAUAUGAGUGUUAUCAUUCAUACAUCUCUGAUGUAGAAAAGUCCAGCGAGGCUAACAAGGAUAAAAAUCAGAGUUUAUCAACUGUGGACUAUGGACAAGGCAUUUUGCUAAGUUCUUUAUACACAUUAUCUGAUUUAACAGGCAUUUCCAUGAGAAGAGAAAUAAACAGAAAAAAGUGUCCAAAGAGUUGCAUUUGUUUCUGAACAGAAACUGCUUACAACUGUUUCUCCUUAACUUUCUGGAUGAUCACUUCCUUUGCUCAAAUUAGUGGCCCCACUUUGAGCAGUAAAUAAUGUACUCAGAAAAUCACUGAAGAAGUUAGAUAAGACAUCUAGCUUAAUUCUGGGUUCUGAUAAUAAUUGUGGGACUUUAAUCCAAUUAUUUAACAUUUGGGUUUAGACUGGCUCUCCGGAAUGCACUCUCAGUAGUCCUUAGAUAAUGUGGUUCACUGCAUAUGCCUAUUUCUCAUUUUGAUUGAUUAGCUACUUGAGGUACUGUCAAAUCUUCCUACAGUGUAACCUAUGCUUGUACUUCAGUGUUCUCUUAAAAUAUAAUUUCUGCCUAAUAAGAAAACCGUUUAAUGUCUAAAAAAGUUAUAAUUACUUUUCAUAUAUGUAUCAUCACAUAGGUGAAUUGAUAUGCAUUGGUAUUUAGAGAUUCUAAUGUUGUUUAUAUAAAACAAGAAAUUCAAGUGGACUCUUCUGAAUGAUAAAUUUGGAUAAAUUUAGAGAGGCACAUUUUAGGAUUGGGACUUUGUUCAAUUAUAGAUUUGCACAGAAAUCAUACAAAUAAUUUGGCAGGGCAUAACGUGUCUGGCUUUUACAAGAAAUAAUCUUUGGCAAACCUAGAUAUUUUGACAAGAAUAUUUUUUCUUACUUGGUUUAAAAAAAUGUUUAGUAUUUACUUUGUACUCAGAAUCAUUGACAGACUUUUGCUGAAUAUCCACUCCUUCAACACGCACAAUUUCUGAAAAUAAUGUUGCAUUUUUCUAAUUGUUUCUCACAGUAUCCCAAGUUUAGGGAAGCAGAUUUACAAGAUUUACUUCAAUUGUUAGAAAACUGUGGAUUAGUGCAAACGUAUUUAAAUGUGAUCAGACCUUCAUGUGUGCUCAUAUGUGCAUGCCUUGAUUCUUCAAAUAAAUUCAGUUCAGUUGUAUAUAACUGGAAAAAAACUUAAAAUGGAGCAGGCUGCUUACCUCAGAAUUUAUCUGUUCUAAGGAGGAGAAAAAUAGUCUUUUAAAGUGUCAGUUGUGGAGUUCCUAUUGUGGCUCAGCCAGUUAAGAACCCAAUUAGUAUCCAUGAGGAUGCAGAUUUGAGAUCCCUGGCUCAGUGGGUUAAGGAUCCGGCAUUGCCACAAGCUGUGGCAUAAGUUACAGAUGCGGCUAGGAUCUGGCGUUGCUGUGGCUGUAGUGUAGGCUGGCAGCUGUAGAUCUGAUUCAACACCUAACCUGGGAACUUCCAUAUGUCGCAGGUGUGACCCUAAAAAGCAAAAAGAAAAAGAAAAGAAAAAAGU
rnacentral:lncRNA from 1 species